CACAUGGAUAUUAAUAAUAACCCGUUAAAACAACAUGUCAAUGUAUUUAUACAACACCAUAUUCGUGACAGGGGCACUAGUUUAUGUAACAGCAGUGUGUACCCUCACUGGUUACCUCAGCAGAGGUUAUAACUAGCCAACCUUGAGAACUUUGAACAACAGACCCGUGGACUUGAGCGAAUAUAAAAUGCAAGAUUGUGUUAUGAUAUGCCUACUUCUGAGUUAAGAUUCUGCGAUGACCACCGUGUGCAUAAUUUAAAUCACUCCAAUGAGGGUGGGCUUGCCCCAGUGACUGAGCAAGACGGGGGGAUAGCUCGCAUGUUAGCAGCUAAUUGCAUGACAUUUAAACUAGCUCUGGAGCUAGCUAAAACCACUUGUGGCGCCAACUGUACUGUUGGUGGUACUAUUCGUGGUCUUUCGACGUUCGUCCAGGUUUGAUACAAGUUAUGCUGUGUAUGAAAAACACAACGCCCAUUUGUUUUGAUUCAAAGGAUCAACGGAUUUGAAGUUAUUUGAGGAAUCUGACACAGCUAUUGGUGAGGACGUUUUCCAAUACCUCAUCACAGAUAACCUACACAUCUGCCUGGUGGCAAAACCUUUUGAUGACAACGUGUUUCCCUGGAGUCCCACCCAGCCCGCUGAAGCAGCCUUCCCAGCCCAGCCUUCCCAGCCCAGGCUUCCCUUCCCAGGCUCAUCAGUCCGAUGGUGCAGAGAUGGCUAAAAGGCCAAAGGAGGAUUCCGGUUGUUCUGGAGAACAGUGCAGGAGGACAGGAAAUAAUGGAGGAGGAGUAUAGGAGAUCCAGCACCUGCACUCAUGGCACGUUUUGAAGAGGCAGCGAAGGACACGAAGGACACACAGGAUCGCCAGCCAUACCUCCUUGCACUUCCAGGGUCCCAUGUGAAGCUUAUCAAUUGGCGAUGGAUUGAUACUGGCACACAGUAGAGCCAGUUACGCUGGUGGGCCUGCCCUGGGCUGGGCUGGACCUAAAGGUACUAACGGUGUUUUCACCGACAGGUGGUUAGAUGCGAAAGGGGGCUGGUGGCCCAGGUUUCGGGGCGUAGGGCCAGUAUUCCUGGCCCUUCAAAGUCUAUGGGCCAUCAAGGGCCGGAGGGCCAGAGGCGGGGUUUACAUCAUGGUGGGAUCUUAUUUGUCCUAGCGAAAUGCGAAAACAAUGCGGCGACACAGCUUUUUGAUCUGCAGAAACGAAUUAGUUAAACUUCAAUUGGCUUACAUUUUUUCUGUGGCCCAAUAGCCGACAUCGUUUUAUUUGUUAUCGUUUCAUAUUUUCCCCUAUUGCUGCUGGUUGUUCAGUGAGCCUCCCUUAUGUUUCUCCCUGGUGUCCGCAAGUCGGGAAUAAUCUUAUCCCUGAUUUAUUUGAAAUUCUAGUAAGAGCGUGCAUGCACCUCGUGCAUCAUAGAAUGCUUCGCUUAGAUUACGCAGGUAUACAAGAGAG